rnacentral:rRNA from 1 species
AACGAACGCUGGCGGCAUGCCUAACACAUGCAAGUCGAACGAGACCUUCGGGUCUAGUGGCGCACGGGUGCGUAACGCGUGGGAACCUGCCCUUAGGUUCGGAAUAACUCCCCGAAAGGGGUGCUAAUACCGGAUAAUGUCUUCGGACCAAAGAUUUAUCGCCUUUGGAUGGGCCCGCGUUGGAUUAGCUAGUUGGUAGGGUAAAAGCCUACCAAGGCGACGAUCCAUAGCUGGUCUGAGAGGAUGAUCAGCCACACCGGGACUGAGACACGGCCCAGACUCCUACGGGAGGUAGCAGUGGGGAAUAUUGGACAAUGGGCGAAAGCCUGAUCCAGCAAUGCCGCGUGAGUGAUGAAGGCCUUAGGGUUGUAAAGCUCUUUUACCCGGGAUGAUAAUGACAGUACCGGGAGAAUAAGCUCCGGCUAACUCCGUG